GCAUAUUUGGCUCAGUGGGUAGAGCGUCAGCUUGCAGACUGAAGGAUUCCAGGUUCGAUUCCGGUCAAGGGCA
rnacentral:tRNA from 1 species